rnacentral:rRNA from 1 species
UACAGAGGGUGCAAGCGUUGUUCGGAAUUACUGGGCGUAAAGCGCGUGUAGGCGGUUUGGCAAGUCGGGCAUGAAAUCUCUGGGCUCAACCCGGAGAGGUUGUCCGAUACUGCUAAACUGGAGGGCAGUAGAGGGUGGUGGAAUUCCGGGUGUAGUGGUGAAAUGCGUAGAGAUCCGGAGGAACACCAGUGGCGAAAGCGGCCACCUGGACUGCACCUGACGCUGAAACGCGAAAGCUAGGGGAGCGAACGGG